rnacentral:rRNA from 1 species
UCAGGCCUAACACAUGCAAGUCGAGCGGUAGCAGGAAGUGCUUGCACUUCGCUGACGAGCGGCGGACGGGUGCGUAACACGUAGGAAUCUGCCUGGUAGUGGGGGAUAGCCCGGAGAAAUCCGGAUUAAUACCGCAUACGCCCUACGGGGGAAAGGAGGGGACCCGUUUCUUUUAUAAGAAGCGAGCCUUUCGCUAUCAGAUGAGCCUGCGUCGGAUUAGCUUGUUGGUGGGGUAAAGGCCUACCAAGGCGACGAUCCGUAGCUGGUCUGAGAGGAUGAUCAGCCACACUGGGACUGAGACACGGCCCAGACUCCUACGGGAGGCAGCAGUGGGGAAUAUUGCACAAUGGGCGAAAGCCUGAUGCAGCCAUGCCGCGUGUGUGAAGAAGGCCCUAGGGUUGUAAAGCACUUUCAGUGGGGAGGAAAGGUUGAAGGUUAAUACCCUUCAGCUGUGACGUUACCCACAGAAGAAGCACCGGCUAACUCCGUGCCAGCAGCCGCGGUAAUACGGAGGGUGCGAGCGUUAAUCGGAAUUACUGGGCGUAAAGCGUGCGUAGGCGGCCACCUGAGUUGGAUGUGAAAGCCCCGGGCUCAACCUGGGAACUGCAUCCAAAACUGGGUGGCUAGAGUACGGGAGAGGAGUGUGGAAUUUCCUGUGUAGCGGUGAAAUGCGUAGAUAUAGGAAGGAACACCAGUGGCG